ensembl:lncRNA
GCUUAACUGGCAGUAAAUAUCCAGAGGUCAUAGCUUUUAGCAUAACUUUGAAAAUAAAUGAAAAAAGUAACUGAAUAAAAUCAUUAUUAAUGAUGGAAAAGAAACACAGAAGAUCAGCCUCAUAAUAUUUUAAAGUCAUGUGGUGAGCAGUUUGCUUGACCAUACUCUGUCCAUGCUGUACUACCUCUCCACAGGCUGAGGAAAAGCUGGGCCAAUUGAACAAGGACCAAAGCCUCCUAAACUGGCUGCAAAGAUGAUGAUCAAACAACUAAUCUAAUGAAGAAGAGGCCAACACUCUGGAGAAGAGAUAAGCCUGCCUGGAAGAGUUGACUACUCCAAGGAAAAACAGGCCUCUUGAAGUCCACAGCUGAGCAAAGAGGCUGGAGAUGGAUCAAUGAGCACUGCAACAUGCCUGGUGUUGUUCCUUUUACUGGAUGACAGUGCUGGUGUCAGCAUCAAGGCCGAAUAGAGCUGCUGCUGAAUCCAUAGAGGGAAGAAACUCCUUCUGCACCAGAAGCAGGACCACAGUUGGCAAGCCUACUGCAAAGACAGGGGCCUUUAUUUUCCAAAUGGACCUCUUCAGUCUUGGGCUCCAUCAGGGUUUUGCAGUCUCCUACACAAAUAUAAAUUUCCCACACAGAUGCUUUUGUACUUGGAUGCCUUCCAAGUCACUGAUUAUAGAGCGAUGGACGGGUGACCUCCUUUUCUACCAUCUUGCUGAUGCCAUCUCUUAACUAUUUUUAUGCUUAUAAGAUGGAGCCCCAAUAUGAGGCUUGUCACAAUCUGUAUCUGUCACCUCAAGUGAAUGAACAGCUUUCCAAUAUGUUCUUGACAGCACAACUUCAACCAUGUGGGAGGAUCUGGGAACAGCCUGAUUGACACUUCAAAAAUCCCUUAUCACCUCCACAGUGAUUCGAAUGCUGCUGAAGAGCUCAGGUGUUCCAUGAUUAAUGAUUUUGUCCUUACCUGGAAAGUUAGUCACAUUUCUGUUGAAGAAUUCUGGGCAAUAAUUUGAAUGGGUAAGGAAAGAUAUAUUAAGUAGUAUCUUGAUGGUAAUAUUAAUUCUAUUUAUUAUUAAAGUGAAUUAUUUUUUAAUAAAAAUCUUAAGGGAAAUAUGAUCUAUUACACUGUUUAAAAAAUAGCAUAAUGCAUGCAUCUAGGUUUUUGAUGGAUAUGAUAUUCUGAGGUGAUCAGGCUUAUUUGAGUUAGAAUGACCCAAAGGAAUGUGAUAUUCUGGUUAAUUAAUUAUUUGAAUUAAUUUCACCCUACCAAUGCUAUAACAAAUCAAUAAUUAAGUUUUAAAUAAGGUGUAGGGAUCAGAAUUUUACUAUCUGUCUAUGUCAGCAUCGUACUUAACUUUUAAUGUUUCUUUUAGGUCAAUAUAUUCCUUGCAGCUAAAAAGCUUGGUUAAGUUGGUUUGUGGUUACUUAUAGUUUGGCUAAAAUUAAUUACUUAUUAGUAUGCAAAAUGAGUACAUUACACAUUCAGAGUUCAUGAAAACUUUAUGGUAUAGUUUUCAGAGAAAAUAUGAACAUGGUAGGUUUUUAUGACAUAAAAACAUGAACCAAAAUGUUUAGAAUAAGAUUUGAGGCAACUUAGAUAAUAUUCAUAUAUCUACUAACUAGUUACAAGGAAGCUAUUGAAAAUAUUUCUAUAUAGUGAAAUGUAUACAUUUCCCUCCAUAUUCCAUUAUUCACAAGAGCUUUUAUUGAUUAAUAUAGUGAGUAAUAUUAUAUAUAUCUGAAAUGUAUGUAGCCAUUAAUUAAAAACUAUAUUUAAAUUACCUGAAGAAUGAUUCAAUGCUUUAUAGGCUUUAAAACAAAAAAAAUUGAACAACUAUAGAUAAAUUUAUUAUAUUUCAUUUAAUUUAUUUUGAAGCUUGUUUUUAUUUUGCUUAGUAGGCAAACAUAUGUGAUUAUGAUUAUGCAGUAGCUAGGCCCAAAUAGCUUCAGUUGUCAGGGUGUGCUUCAUUUUGUAUACGUCUUCUUCAGUCGAACAGGAACCAGUUCAUGAUUGGAAAAUCUCGUCUUUGUGGCACACUUCAACUAUCAAAUUGAUAAUUUAGGAGUCUUUUGGGGACCAGGAGUGGAAUAUUGUGGCUGAUAUCUAGAGGUUCCCUUAAAGUCCCAUGUGCCUAUUAGUAGCACUUUUGAUAAGUGACUGGAUCAUGGGUAUGUGAUACUCAUCACUGGAUUAGUCCACUGAUAAGCUUAUAGCUGGGUGUGAUGUUGGCAAGUAAAGUCUGAUGGAAAGGGGUGGGUCACUGCAGGUGUGGACUGGAAGGGUGUAUGUAUCUCACCUCCCUGUACCCCCUCUGCUUCCUGCCUGCCAUACUUCUACCAUGUCCCUCUGCCUGUGACCCUGCCUUGGAGCCCUCAAACUAUCUUGGGAGACCUCUACAAACUAUUAGCCAAAACAAACCUCUCCACCUCAAAUUGGAUGUCAGAUAUUUUGUCCCAGUAAGAAGAACAUAACCAAGAUAGUACUAUGUCUGAGCCCUGGUCCCUUCCACCUGUUACCCCCGCACCAUGAAGUGAGUGGCCUCAUUCCAACACUCUCUACUACAAUGAUGUUUCUUCCUUGGAGUGAGGAAGUCAUAGACUGAAGCCUUGAAAACUGACUAAAAUAAGCCUUUCCUUUAAGUAGUAGUUAGGUAUAUUGUCCCACAAACUGGAAAACGCAUUGUUGUCAAAAUAGCUCAGAGUAUACUGUUUUCCAUAAAAUUAAUUUAUGCACCAAGUCCAAUAUGUGUAAUACACACUUAAAAUAAUAAUCAGUUAUUUUUUACCUAUUUACUUUCAAUAUAGCAGAUGAAUAUCAUUUUAAAACUACUCUUUGAUGUAUAAAAAUAAAUGCAAAAUACAGUAGAUACCAUUUACUAAGAAAAAAUCACCCUAAGAUAUAGAGAAUUAAAACAAAAAAAUAUAUAUCAUAUUCCUUAUUCCCAUGUUUGGGCAAUCAGGGUUAGCUUUCAAGUGUUCUCCAUGUCACCUGGUCUCACUGUUGCAUUUGUCACUAUCUAAUUGUCAAAUGAAAUGACUGGGAUGUCUUCUAAAAUUAAACAAGUGAAGUCUAUUAAUAUCAAAAAUUGCCUGGUUGGAACCCCAUAAACUAUUUAAUAUUUAUGGGUCUCACUUUUCUCACUUGAAAAAAUAUGAUAAUAUUUUUUCAGUAACACUCUGAUUUUGAAAAUCAGAUUGAGUGGCAUUCAUAAAUAUGCAUCUCACAUAAUGAGUAUGCAGUAAAACUUAGCUAUUGCUUUUGUUUCCCUAUGGAAAAUCCCUCCUUGGUAUUGAGGAUUGAACUUUGGGCUACUGGAUUGAGCUAACUUUUUCCUUUUGUAUUUGAUUUUGACAGAGGGUCUUACUAAGUCUCUAAGGGGUCCAGGUUGUUCUAGAACUCCUGAUCCCUCUACAGCGUCUUCCAGAGGGACUAUAGGUUUGCAGCACCUCACCUGACUCCUUUUUGUUGUUCUUUACUUUUUCUACAGACAAAUUGAAAAUCAAUGGAUGUAGAAGUAUUUUCUUCCCUGUUUAUCAUGAAAACCAGAGAGUUUUGAAUACCGACUGGCAUAUGUAGAAAAUAAUAUAUAUUUGUGGAAUGAAUAAAAAGUCAAACAGUGUAUUAUUACUAGUUUCAUAAUGAAAUGAGGCUACCUCUUUGCUAGUGAAAUUAAUAUUGAUACUCAUUUUUCAUUUUAAAUUAAAGUUGAUAUCUUAAAAUUUUAACAGUAAGGUAUUACUCUUCAUUUAUUACCAUAAAUUCUGCUUCCCUAAACUACAUUUUAAACAUGCAAUUCUCCCCACCCCCCACACAAUUACAAAGUGUUCAUCAAAUGUAUUAUUCUGUUGCUAUGGUUUAAUAAAUUGUGUUGUAUUUUGGUAACAGAGAUUACAGCUACCAUCAUUCUUAGGAAUUGUUGUCAAGAAAAGCUAUAAACUUUUAUUAGUCAUGUUGGAUAUGAAGAAUUAUUAAAAUUCUUUAUAGAUAGGAAUAUUUUAAUAUAUAAGGAUUUUUAGCUCAUACUCUCUUGUAUGAUGACCUAUAGAUACUAAUAUAUGGAUUUAGAGUUUCACUUCAUAAUUCUCUGGCUAUCUCAGAGAUCCUGGACUGCUGUUCAGAAUCCUUAUCUAUAAAUUGAAAAUAAUAAUAACAAAUUAAUAUGAUCUUCAUUUUUUACUUUUGAAAGUUAAGAUUAUGUUGUCUAAUACAAACACUAUACACAUAUCACAUAGAACUCAUCCUGGUACAAUGAAAAGAUGCAGUGAAUGAGAAAAGUUAUUAAAAACAAAACACUGAGUUGAGAUUAAAUAUAUAUAUGUAUGUAUAUGUUAUAUAUAUGACAUUUGACAAGAACCUUCUUAUUCUUUGAGAAAGACUUUUGAUAAAAGCCAGUUAAUUACCAUUAUUAGGUAAGCUUCUUAUUCAUCAAAUCUUUAUAUUCAAUUGCUAACUCUGUGAUCCUAAAUUGUUAAUUUACACUGAUCAGCAAUUUCAGGUAUUCUUAUUAAUCAUAACUUUUAUUGCAUAAGAAUACAAAGAUGAGCGACAACUUAUCACAACUGUCUAUAGAAUCAGAAUGAAAGGCCAUGGUCCAGAUAGGAAGCAAAGCUCAGGUGAACUAUUAAUGUUCAUAACAGAGGAAAGAUAAAUCUGAUGGAUGACUUCAGAAAGAGGGAAGAAUCAAAGGAGAAAGUUUUAGAAUUAUUCAGCUUAAAAAUCACCGUGGUCUAAAAACUUUUCCUGAUACUAAUAUCAAGAAUUUUCAUCCAAGAUAUUUCUACAUGCAAAUCAGAUUCUUAAGUUGUUAAUGCUAUGCAUAUUUGUGGAAUUAAUAAGAUAAAUUGGGGUUCAUAUAAAUAUACUUGUUGAAUUGUGUCAAGACAGAAAUUAUAGAUGGAUUAGUCUUUGAAUAACUGAAGACAAAAAACUAAGGCUGCAAAUUUAUCCUAAAAGUAGAAAAAUGAGUUAUUGCCUGCUAACCAGAAAAUAUUUGUCUUGGUCAAUUUUGUGUUGCUAUGACAAAGUACAUGGUGCUAGGCAAAUUAUAAAAGAAAGUGAUUUAUUUCAGAUCACAGUUUUUGAUAUUCAGUAGUAUAGUGUGAGCACCUGUUAAACACUUUAUAAGAUUCCAAUCUUAAGAUAACUAAUAGUUUCCAUGACCCUAUUUACCCUAUUUACCUCUUAAAUGUUCCAUCACUUCUCAAAAAUGUUAAAUUGGGAAUAAAACCUCAACAUGAGUUUAUUAAGGAAAAAUUAGAUUUAAAUGAUAGUCAUACCCAAUAUUAAAAUAAAAUUUAAAAGUAGAAACAUAAUCAUAAUGAUACUGAAUGAAUAGAAAUAAUUUGAAUUAAGAUGGUAAAGAUAUGUAUCAACGAUGAAUUAAGGAACAAAUAACUGAAUAAUAAAUAACUUAAUCAGAGUCAUAUUAUAAGAUACUUUAAAAAUAUAUUUACUUUCAUAAUAACUUAAUUUUUUCCUGUCUUUUCACAGAAACAACUUUAAGUAUUUCUGAGAUCACUUUCAAAAAAGCAGAUACAAGCAGUAUCUGAAGCAGUAAAUUUGAAUUCCAUUUAGUAACCACAUGUUUUUGCUUCUGUUUGGAAAAUUAUGCUUCCAAGGGUUGUUUUCCAAAUUAUCAAUAUUUGAAUUGUGAAAGAUCAUUAGCAUAAAACUUACAUGAGAUAAAGGCAAAAGACUAAAAUUGAAGGAUGUUUUCACUCUAACUUGAUUUUGUCAUUGUAACACAUCACACUGGGCUGGGGAUUUAGCUCAGUGGUUCCACUGCCUGCCUUGCGAGUGCAAGGUCCUGAGUUCGAUCCCCAGUACCAAAACAAAAAAAACACAUAACGCUGUCAUCAAAAGUAAGCUUCUGAUGUUCUCAUCAGAAAUAAUAAUAUUUCUUUACUAUCUCUCUCUUUUUUUCCAUAUUAUUCCUUACCUUAUUUUCCAUAUUAUUCCUUACCUUAUUUUCACACUAUUGAUGUUCAGACCUCAAAUACUCUUUAAAAAAUAGGCAAGAAAAUGCUCUCUUUAAAAUAUACAAGUUAUUUUUGAUUUCUAACUUCAAGAAAAGUGAGUUAUAUGUCAUGCGCUGUUUUUAUUACAUAUAUGCCCCCCUUCCAUCUACUCUGGAAAUAAACAUGUGGGGCUUUAUGCAUAAGAAUCUGGGGUCUCAGCAUCUAGGAGAAAUUUGUGAGAACAUUGUUCUGGAUGACUCAAUGCUGAAAUGAGACUGCAGAACUUUCAGAGUUAAGAAAGGAGAGGAAAAAAAAAUGAACUUAUUUUUGUCUUUAAUCAAUAGGAAAAUAUUUUCUCAAGCUUCCUAACUCUAUUACAAUAGUGGGAACUGAGCCAAUAUUUGAUCUUGUUUGUGAACAGUGUUAUAAUCUUAAAUAUCCCAGUGAGUACUCUUUUUAAAUUUUAAUACUAAGAGAGACAUGCUACUAUUGUUCAUCACCUUAGUCUCAUACUAACUAUAACAAUGAAAUACAGACAUUAUUAGAAAUAGCUAUUUGACUUACACAUACAUACAAAAGGAAACAUUUUAAGCAUAAAUUUUCAAUUUAGUGAAUUCAUCUCUACAGAUAGAAUUCAUACCAUCUUAACAUUAAUUAGUGUCAUGUUUAAAUUAUAUGUGAAAGUUUUAUAUAUUUACUUAAUAUAUUGGUUAGUGUUCUCUAUAGGAAGAAUUCAAUAGUGAUCUGUAUCAUGAAAGAAAAAUAUACAGUUAGAGCGGCCUCUGCACACUGGAGAUCUGGAGAAUCCAGUAGCUGUUCAAUUCAAAAAGCUGGAAGUCACAAAAAGAACAUGAAUCAAGGAUGCAAUACCAAUCCAAGCCUAAAAGCCUGGAAGCCCCCUGGAGAGACACUGGUUUGUAUCUGCAGUGAAGGCCACAGUCUGAUGUGAUGGUUGGUGAUGGCACAGGUGAUACCAGUAUCAAAAUACAAACAUGUUCAAGCAGAAUGGAGGUUUUUUUAAAUUUAAGUGUGUGAACAUGGUGCUGCAGAGGAAGAAAAGAUUACUCAGAGACAAGACUUGAUGUGAACAUGAAGUAGGGACUGCACCAAGACAGCACCCAGCUGGAAGGAGUCUCUAGGAAGCAGGGCUGAACUGAGAACUAAACUAGGACCCAGGAAACCAUUCUAGCCAAGAGAAAGUUGAACAGUCUGCUGUCCUGAAUAAUCACUUGAUAGACUACGCACUGAACUAGCCAUGCACUUUUUCUAUAUUAAGCAAGUGAGAGUAGUCAUAUAUCACUUAAUGAAGAUAAUAUAUUUUGAAAAAUAUAUCCUUGGGUGUUUUUUGGUUGUGAGAAUAUCAUAGAUUGAACUUACACAAACCUAGAUGGCAAAGGUCAGUCACUCAGUGUAGCCUCUUGCUACAAUAAAAAAUUAUGGGAAUCAUGAAAUGCAUGAGACUACUGACAGAAUAAUGUGACAUAUAGUUUGACAAUAUUUUUUUUUAUAUUUAGGUAGGAGUACACUCUAAAAUAAUGAUGAAUAAUAUAGUAAUAGUAAAUACUUAAACCAGUAAAAUAGUAAUAUAUUAUCAUUAUCAAUUAAAUAUUAUGCACUCUAUAUAAUUGUAUAUACUACACUUUAUGGGACUACCAGAACCAUAGAUUUCAUCCCACCUGUAUCACCUCAACAAGUGAAGAAAUCAUUGAGCUAUGAUAUUAGGACACCUAUGAUGACAUGCCAUUAUAAUCUAUGGGACCAUUAUCCUAUAGGUGAAUGAAUGUCCUUAACCUAAAUGCAUUUUUUAUCACAAGACUGUACUUUUUGAUUGUUAUUAUAGAAACUAAUGUUUAAUAAAGAAUUUUUAAAUUUUAUUUCCUUGUCUUUCAUUAAUGGUUUCUGGUGAUUCUCAUGUUAUUUGUAAAUGACAUUCCUAUCCCUACAUUAAAAAUAUAUUUCCCUUUGUAACAUUUUAUCCUGCCAUAUUUUCUUUUUUGUUAAUUUUGCUGGAAUUUGUCUUUACCUGUUUGUAAAAAAUAAUAAAUUAAAAUAAUAAAAUUGUUUUCUAAUUUUUCUUCUAUCAAAUUUUUGUUUCUAAAUGGUCCCAUAUCCACUUUAUUAAAUAUUAAUACUUUUCUUCACUGUUUUGAAAUGUCUUCUUUAGCACCACUAGAUUUCCUUACAUACAUAACUGACUCCAUAUAUAUUUGCCAAAAUUAUCUGUGGCUCUAUUGAUUGGCAAUCUAUACCUAUUAUACAUUUUAAAUUAUGCUGGCUUCAUAUGUUUGAAUAUCUAGUAGUGCAUUUUAUCUCAUUUUUAUUACUAUACACUUUUAGAAUUUUUCAGAGGUUUCCUCUUUUAUAUUUUUCAGAAC